rnacentral:misc_RNA from 1 species
AAAUGCGAUAAGUAAUGUGAAUUGCAGAAUUCAGUGAAUCAUCGAAUCUUUGAACGCACAUUGCGCCCGCCAGUAUUCUGGCGGGCAUGCCUGUUCGAGCGUCAUUUCAACCAUCAAGCCCCAGGGCUUGUGUUGGGGACCUGCGGCUGCCGCAGGCCCCGAAAACCAGUGGCGGGCUCGCUGUCACACCGGGCGUAGUAGAUUUUUCGUCUCGCCCAGGGCGUGCUGCGGGUUCCGGCCGUUAAAAAGCCUCUCUUUUAACCCAAGGUUGACCUCGGAUCAGGUAGGAAGACCCGCUGAACUUAAGC